rnacentral:rRNA from 1 species
UAGGGAAUCUUCGGCAAUGGACGAAAGUCUGACCGAGCAACGCCGCGUGAGUGAAGAAGGUUUUCGGAUCGUAAAACUCUGUUGGUAGAGAAGAACGUUGGUGAGAGUGGAAAGUUCAUCAAGUGACGGUAACUACCCAGAAAGGGACGGCUAACUACGUGCCAA